rnacentral:rRNA from 1 species
ACGACUCUCGGCAACGGAUAUUUCGGCUCUCGCAUCGAUGAAGAACGUAGCGAAAUGCGAUACUUGGUGUGAAUUGCAGAAUCCCGUGAAUCAUCGAGUCUUUGAACGCAAGUUGCGCCCGAAGCCUUUUGGCCGAGGGCACGUYUGCCUGGGUGUCACGC